UACAGAGACUGCAAGCGUUAUCCGGAUUCACUGGGUUUAAAGGGUGCGUAGGCGGGCAGGUAAGUCAGUGGUGAAAUCCCCGAGCUUAACUUGGGAACUGCCGUUGAUACUAUCUGUCUUGAAUGUUGUGGAGGUAAGCGGAAUAUGUCAUGUAGCGGUGAAAUGCUUAGAUAUGACAUAGAACACCUAUUGCGAAGGCAGCUUGCUACACAAUUAUUGACGCUGAGGCACGAAAGCGUGGGGAUCAAACAGG
rnacentral:rRNA from 1 species